UGUAAAAACAAAAAAGCAUUUUAAUGUGAUAUUUUAAACGUACAAAUGUAUUGCAUUAUUCCAAAUGAUAUUACAUACACGGUGUGAGUAUAUAUAUAUGCAUGCACAUAUAUAUUAAACGUAACGUAAGAAGAAAUGUACCACAAAUAAUUUGCUAUAUUUUUGGUAUGUUAUGUAAUCAAAAUUUUGGUACAUUAUGUAAUUUUAGUUUAGAUACGUACCAAGCUACUCGUAUGUUGUAUUAUCAUAUAAUUUGGUAUGUAAAAAGCUAACGACACGUUAUGUGUAACCCUAAACAAAAUUUAUGUUAAAACUUUAUACAAUUUAUAUAUUACAUAAAUUCUUAAUAAGAAGCUUUACCUCUAGAGAUAAAAACACAAAAUACAUUUCAUAGAACUUCAAUAGUUUUAAAUCAUAUCAAGGAGACGGAAAAACUCAAACCCCAAUUAUUUAUUGACAUGAUGACUCAUAUUUGUUUUAAGAAGGAAAAAAAGGAAAAGGAGAUUAUUUUCCAUGAAAUGGAUGUAGGUCAUGUUUCCGAAAAAAAAUUAAACUCUUCGAUUCUCGUCAAAUGCAAAGGUAAACUACAUUAUUAAGGCAAACCAUUGUAAGGAUUAACUCACUCCCCCACCUUCUUAUUGUAGAUACUAUUGUUGUUAAAAAAAAAAAAAAAAAAAAAAACUCUAAAUUUUUUAAAAUGUACAUAAAAUAUUUAAUUGGAAAAUAAGAAAAACACAUAAAUAAAGGUAAAGUAGUUUGAUCAAAACAUAAUGAAAGUAUUAUUACAUUAUCAUAUAUUCAGACGCCCACGUAUGACUUUUAUCUAGUGUUUAAUUUAUAAAAUGUUGAAUCUGAGCAAUUGAAUUUAAUUAUUUUUCAAUUUAAACGUAAUAUCGAUAAGAAAAUGUAAAUGAAAAAAGAAAAACUUACAUCAUGUAAUUACUAAUUUACCCUGGAUUUGAACCGUUUGGGUAGAUUGUUGCUUGUCCGUAUUCAAUUAAAGGACCGCCUUCGAGCGCGUUAUUUCUCCCGUCAGCGCCCGCUUUGCAUUUCAAAAUCCCAUCUCCCUCUCGCUCUAAAAGUCCCAACGGUCGAAAAAACGUGAUCCGAUUCUCUCAACGAUCAGUACAUCAAUUAAGGGGCAGCGAAUGGAACAGACGGCCACUUUUCUCAUCUGAAAUCUGAUCGGUGUUUGCAUUUCGGAUCUCUCUCUCUCUCUCUCUCUCUCCAAUUGCUUGAAGAUACCCAGUUUUCAAUCGUUCGAAGGGUUCCUGUACUUACAGUUUCAGUUCAGUUGUCCUUACUCUCUGUUCUCCCAAUGCCCCUCCUCUAAAGCCUAUGCGCAUCACCGUCCCCAAAACACAAACUCCCAGCCUCCGCGGGCAAAAGAGGAAACAAGAAGCAGCCCCACAAGAGUAAGGACGUCAAAAGAAGCACAGAUCGAAGAAGGUGCCUUCCCGUCUGUUGGCAUUCUGACAUUGGAAAUAGGUACGAUAAUUGGAGAACGAAAGCCUGAUCAUCUUAAUGAUGCUGAUAUAGCCGGUGCUCACAUCCGGACUCUGCUACUGACAUUUUUCAUGGGAUAUAUCAGGUAAAGAAUGCAUAUGUAGUGCAAUGGACUCAAAUAUCAAAUGGUGCAGUAGUUCUUGGUUACAGUUUGCAGAAAGCAAGAACAUACCAACUGAGAAGAAACCGAGAUAAAAGUAUCAACUCAUAUCUUACAAUGUAAAUGUAUGCAUUUCAAAACUAAAAA